UGAUAACAAUAUUGGGAUCAGAAAACGCAACAUUAAAGGAACUUCUAAUCGUGGUGAUAUUUUGGGUAGAAAGAGAGGAGGCAUGAUUAAAGAGAGAACAAGAAUUAUAUCAAAUAGAAAAGAGAGAACAAGAAAUUAUCGUUCACGUGAUUCAAUGGGUGGUAAUAUGAUGAAAGAUUUCACAUUCGAGAUUUUGGUGAAA